GAAUUCUUGGCGCCAUUGACCUCAAACUCCCCAUUUUCAGGAGAAUUAUUCCUCCUCACUUCCCCAAAUUCCAACAUCCAUUUCGCCAUGGCCGAAGAGAUGAAUCUCCAAAACCAUAGCCCCGAAGUCAAAGAACCCACCCCAGAAAUCCUGAAACUUGGCCCUGAAAAUGGCUUGAUCCAAUCCGCCACCGCCCCAUUUUUCCGAGUCAAAAAGCUCUCUGACAAAGCAGUUUUGCCCUCUAGAGCUUCUUCCCUCUCUGCUGGCUAUGAUCUCUCCAGUGCUGCUGAAAUAAAAGUGCCCGCCCGAGGCAAAGCUUUGAUCCCGACUGAUUUGAGCAUCGCCGUCCCUGAAGCAACCUAUGCCCGUGUUGCGCCGCGGUCGGGAUUGACAUGGAAGAACUCAAUUGAUGUUGGGGCUGGAGUGAUAGAUGCAGAUUACAGGGGUCCAGUUGGGGUGAUUUUGUUCAACCAUUCUGAUGUUGACUUUGAGGUGAAGCCCGGUGACAGAAUUGCACAGCUGAUUAUUGGGAAAAUUGUGACGCCGGAGGUGGAAGAAGUUGAUAAUCUGGAUACAACCGUCAGGGGAGCUGGAGGUUUUGGAUCAACUGGGGUUUAGAGCAUUCAGGAAUCCAGAGAAGUAUUACUGAUAGUAGAUAAUGACUAGUAGCAAAAGGGUAAUAUCUGAUUAGCGGUGCACCUCAAAUCACUAGAGAUGGGUCUUUUGGAAGGGGAAUUCAACUGAUUUUUUGCAGUUAAGAAGGAGAAAGCUUGGUGUUUGUCACAUUGAUUUAUGAUCCUAUGGAUGUAUCCAAGUCCAAAUUGAUAUUCAUUGAUGUAAUGUGAUCCUUGAAUUACAAAAUUUAUCAAUAGUUUUUGCCUUAAGAGGCAGUAGAGAAGAUUCGCCUGACCUGAAUGCUUACAAGGAGGAAAAUUGUGGAAAAUGCUGGUGGAAGUUCACUAUUGUUAUUCGUUGGUCAGUAGCAGAAAAGAUUUUAAUUUACUCCUUCAGCUUGUUCCUCCAUUGCUAAAAGUCCCUUUGUACACGUCUGAGCCCGUCCCACUGAAUUGGUGCAGCUGUCCAAAUCAAAUCGCCAUGUUUGCAAAAGAAAAGCAUAUGCUCUACAGCUUCCUACCCUUCUCGACAGCGUUUACGUCUGUUACCUCUUGAAUAUGAGCUCAUUCACCGGAAGUGCUUUGUCAAAACAUUUCCUUACUAAGUGCUUGAUUUUGUGUUUUGCAUUUAAGUUCCACAGCAUCUCCCAUAUUCUUGAACUCUGAUUAACUAUACUACAUUUUCCCUCAAACUGAUUCCAUCAUUCAUUUCUUUUUUUCCACAUUUUUUGCUUCAUUGUA